CGCACGUGUGAGUUCUGCACGCGCACCUUCAAGAACGGCGAGGUGCUGCGCGUGCACCAGCGGCAGCACCACGGCGACAACCCUGUGCGGGAGUAUGCUGCAAAUGAACAAAGGUUAUUGAGGUACGGUGCAGACACGACGUGCAUAGUGUGCGCGCGCAUCCUGACCACGCCCGCCAUGCUGGCGCGACACAUGCAGCGCAUGCACACCGAGAGGAUCAAAAAGUGAGUAACGUACCGUGCCAGCUCUUGUCUUGUGAUUGUGUAUUAGCUGGAUAGUGAAUAGUGUCCACUGAAGAAAAGGGGGCAGAUCAGCAGAAUGGGGGGGA
rnacentral:lncRNA from 1 species